CUACGGGCCGCUGCAGUGGGGAAUAUUGCACAAUGGGGGAAACCCUGAUGCAGCGACGCCGCGUGAGUGAAGAAGUAUUUCGGGAUGUAAAGCUCUAUCAGCAGGGAAGAAAAUGACGGUACCUGACUAAGAAGCCCCGGCUAACUACGUGCCAGCAGCCGCGGUAAUACGUAGGGGGCAAGCGUUAUCCGGAUUUACUGGGUGUAAAGGGAGCGUAGACGGUGAGACAAGUCUGAAGUGAAAUCCCGGGGCUCAACCCCGGAACUGCUUUGGAAACUGCCUGACUAGAGUGCAGGAGAGGUAAGUGGAAUUCCUAGUGUAGCGGUGAAAUGCGUAGAUAUUAGGAGGAACACCAGUGGCGAAGGCGGCUUACUGGACUGUAACUGACGUUGAGGCUCGAAAGCGUGGGGAGCAAACAGGAUUAGAUACCCGCGUAGUC
rnacentral:rRNA from 1 species